rnacentral:rRNA from 1 species
AGUGAACGCUGGCGGUAGGCCUAACACAUGCAAGUCGAACGGCAGCACAGUAAGAGCUUGCUCUUACGGGUGGCGAGUGGCGGACGGGUGAGGAAUACAUCGGAAUCUACUUUUUCGUGGGGGAGAACGUAGGGAAACUUACGCUAAUACCGCAUACGACCUACGGGUGAAAGCAGGGGAUCUUCGGACCUUGCGCGAUUGAAUGAGCCGAUGUCGGAUUAGCUAGUUGGCGGGGUAAAGGCCCACCAAGGCGACGAUCCGUAGCUGGUCUGAGAGGAUGAUCAGCCACACUGGAACUGAGACACGGUCCAGACUCCUACGGGAGGCAGCAGUGGGGAAUAUUGGACAAUGGGCGCAAGCCUGAUCCAGCCAUACCGCGUGGGUGAAGAAGGUCUUCGGGUUGUAAAGCCCUUUUGUUGGGAAAGAAAAGCAGCAGGUUAAUACCCCGCUGUUCUGACGGUACCCAAAGAAUAAGCACCGGCUAACUUCGUG